UUGCCCAAUAGUCUGUACAAUCAAGGUAGUGGGUAAUAUAGGUGUGUCGGUUAGCGUCUGCAUUCUGAUUGGCUGAGCUAAUAAGUGACAUCACAUAUGUUUAUACAAAUUUAUUUGGGUGCCCUUUUUUUUCAAUGAGGAUUUUCUUAGCGUGUUUUUUAUAGCGAAACUCUAUAAAUCGACUUUUCUUUUAUGUGGUUGCUUUGAAUGGUGUCGUUCUAUUACUAAAUAGUUGUUAUGUCAGAGGUAGGAAAUUGAAAGUAAUUAGUCAUCAUGAUACUCUAUAUUCGAGUGAGCAGUAACGUCAUAUUCAUUCUUACCAGAAGAUUCUUAAUUCAAUGGACAACGGCUCUAUUGAACCACUACCAAAAUCACGUUAUAAUGAGAAUAUAGAAAAUCUUUUAGCAUGAGACUGUUAUGUCGGUUCAACUAUUUUUCAAGUUCUUGAGAAUACUUCCAAAUAGCCUUGCAAUAUUAGGAGGAUAGCUGAAAUGAUUGGAUCUCAGAUGACAUAACUCAAU
rnacentral:lncRNA from 1 species